rnacentral:rRNA from 1 species
UACAGAGGUGGCAAGCGUUGUUCGGAAUUACUGGGCGUAAAGGGCGCGUAGGCGGUUCGUCAAGUCCUGUGUGAAAUCCCCCCGGCUCAACUGAGGAACUGCCCUCCAAACUGUUUGGUCUUGAGACCGGGAGAGGUGAGUGGAAUUCCCAGUGUAGCGGUGAAAUGCGUAGAUAUUGGGAGGAACACCAGUGGCGAAGGCGGCUCACUGGACCGGUACUGACGCUGAGGCGCGAAAGCGUGGGGAGCAAACGGG